rnacentral:rRNA from 1 species
GACGAACGCUGGCGGCGUGCUUAACACAUGCAAGUCGAACGGAAAGGCCCUGCUUUUGUGGGGCGCUCGAGUGGCGAACGGGUGAGUAACACGUGAGUAACCUGCCCUUGACUUUGGGAUAACUUCAGGAAACUGGGGCUAAUACCGGAUAGGAGCUCCUGCUGCAUGGUGGGGGUUGGAAAGUUUCGGCGGUUGGGGAUGGACUCGCGGCUUAUCAGCUUGUUGGUGGGGUAGUGGCUUACCAAGGCUUUGACGGGUAGCCGGCCUGAGAGGGUGACCGGCCACAUUGGGACUGAGAUACGGCCCAGACUCCUACGUGGGACAGCAGGGGGAAAUAUUACACAAUGGGCGGAAGCCUGAUGCAGCAACGCCGCGUGCGGGAUGACGGCCUUCGGGUUAUAAACCGCUUUCGCCUGUGACGAAGCGUGAGUGACGGUAAUGGGUGAAGAAGCACCGGCUAACUACGUG